GAUGAAGAACGCAGCGAAAUGCGAUAAGUAAUGUGAAUUGCAGAAUUCAGUGAAUCAUCGAAUCUUUGAACGCACAUUGCGCCCCCUGGUAUUCCGGGGGGCAUGCCUGUUCGAGCGUCAUUUCACCACUCAAGCCUCGCUUGGUAUUGGGCAACGCGGUCCGCCGCGUGCCUCAAAUCGACCGGCUGGGUCUUCUGUCCCCUAAGCGUUGUGGAAACUAUUCGCUAAGGGGUGUUCGGGAGGCUACGCCGUAAAACAACCCCAUUUCUAAGGUUGACCUCGGAUCAGGUAGGGAUACCCGCUGAACUUAAGCAUAUCAAUAAGCGGAGGA
rnacentral:misc_RNA from 1 species